rnacentral:lncRNA from 1 species
AUGUAUCAAAGUCUGCCGCUGGCAUCUUGGGAUAGAAAUGUCAUCCUAGCUUAUCCCCACGCCUGAACUAGCUGGUGGCCUUUUCUGAAGCAGGAACAAAAUUAGGUGAUUCAAUUAAUAGCCAUCUUUAUGUUUCAAGGAUUACAGCGCUUGGGCUACAUUAUGGGGAAAGACAGACAAGAGGAACAGUGAAGCAAAUAAAAAUGUGGGCAUGGCACAGUUUUCAGGGAAAUGCUAAAUAAGAAGUCAGCAGCACCUGGUUUAAUGGCUUUCACUGCUGCGCGUUCCAGUACCUAUUCUCAUACCAACGGUCCUGUGAUUGCUUUUGAGUUCUUGCUAUGAAUUUCUAGUAACUGGACUACCCCCCUGACAAGGAAGACAAUAGACAGAUCAGAAACAAAACAUCAAUGUGCACCCAUGUACAGAAUCUUUCUAUUUUUAUAUAUCAAAGAAAUAAAC